rnacentral:lncRNA from 7 species
AAAUGCGUGAUUUUCACUUAAAUGGGGGAUUUUCCAAACGAAAAUGCAUGAUUUUUCUUUUAGAUGGGGGAUUUUCAUAGAGAAAAGGCAUGAUUUUUGUGUUAAGUGGGGGAUAUUUGCAAAAAAAAAAAAAAACGAGGCGUGAUUUUUGGGUUAAACAGGGGAUUUUUGAAGAGAAAAUGUGUGAUUUUCAGUUACAUGGGUGAUUUCUGCAGAAAAUGCUAUUCUUGGGUUAAUUGGGUAUUUUUGCAGAGAAAAUGUUGAUUUUCAUUUAAUGAGGAUUUCUUGCAGAGACAAUGCUUGAUUUUUGUUUAAAUGAGGGAUUUGGCAGAGAACAUGCGUGAUUUUCGGGUUAAACGGGGGAUUUCUGCAAAAAAAAUCAUGAUUCUCGGGUAAAAUUUGGUGUAGUUGAAGAGAAAAUGCAUGAUUUUGGGGUUAAAUGGGGGAUUUUGGAAGAGAAAAUGCGGUUGUUUGAGAUAAAC